GGUUCCUGGGGUCAGGCACGGGAAUCCGGCAUCGGUGCUGGACCAAGAGGCCGGGGAGCUGUUCCUUCAGCACCGGGGAGCACUCCUCCUCCCUGAGGAUCACGGUGCAGAGAUCGUAAGAGCACAAGU